AGUUUGUAUCCUUUGACAGAUACGCGUAUUUCGAAAUACGCGUAUCUGUCAAAGGAUACAAACUC
rnacentral:pre_miRNA from 1 species